rnacentral:lncRNA from 1 species
UCCUCCUCAGUUUCUUCACUAGCAUAGUUUUAUGCUUGUUGAACUGAUCCGGGGCCUGUGUUGCGUACCUAUCUGGAAGGAAUUGUUAAGCUUUUGCUUAAAAUGUUGUUUGCGGCAUCUCCUUCAGUGGGGAAGUCGUGAACACAUAAGCCGGCACUUGUGAUCCUUGCAUCUUUGCAUAGUUUAUGCAUUGUUCGCAAAGGUGAAUAAGCUGUUUGCUGAGAUCUCGGUAG